AGUGAACGCUGGCGGUAGGCCUAACACAUGCAAGUCGAACGGCAGCAGAGUAAGUGCUUGUUCUUACGGGUGGCGAGUGGCGGACGGGUGAGGAAUACAUCGGAAUCUACUUUUUAGAGGGGGAUAACGCAGGGACAAAUACGCUAAUACUGCAUACGACCUACGGGUGAAAGCAGGGGAUCUUCGGACCUUGCGCGAUUGAAUGAGCCGAUGUCGGAUUAGCUAGUUGGCGGGGUAAAGGCCCACCAAGGCGACGAUCCGUAGCUGGUCUGAGAGGAUGAUCAGCCACACUGGAACUGAGACACGGUCCAGACUCCUACGGGAGGCAGCAGUGGGGAAUAUUGGACAAUGGGCGCAAGCCUGAUCCAGCCAUACCGCGUGGGUGAAGAAGGCCUUCGGGUUGUAAAGCCCUUUUGUUGGGAAAGAAAAGCAGCAGGUUAAUACCCCGCUGUUCUGACGGUACCCAAAGAAUAAGCACCGGCUAACUUCGUG
rnacentral:rRNA from 1 species